UGGGAGUAGAGGAAGUAGAGGAGAAAGAGACUGUAGAGGAGGAACAAGCUGAGAACACAGCAAGACCAUUGGACAUAGAGGUGAUGCCGGUCCGACCAACUGAGGAGACCACCCAGACAAGACGCGGUUGGUGGACACCAAAUUGCCUGAGAAGACAAAACAAGAGCAGCAG